GAUGAACGCUGGCGGCGUGCCUAAUACAUGCAAGUCGAGCGAACGGACGAGAAGCUUGCUUCUCUGAUGUUAGCGGCGGACGGGUGAGUAACACGUGGAUAACCUACCUAUAAGACUGGGAUAACUUCGGGAAACCGGAGCUAAUACCGGAUAAUAUUUUGAACCGCAUGGUUCAAAAGUGAAAGACGGUCUUGCUGUCACUUAUAGAUGGAUCCGCGCUGCAUUAGCUAGUUGGUAAGGUAACGGCUUACCAAGGCAACGAUGCAUAGCCGACCUGAGAGGGUGAUCGGCCACACUGGAACUGAGACACGGUCCAGACUCCUACGGGAGGCAGCAGUAGGGAAUCUUCCGCAAUGGGCGAAAGCCUGACGGAGCAACGCCGCGUGAGUGAUGAAGGUCUUCGGAUCGUAAAACUCUGUUAUUAGGGAAGAACAUAUGUGUAAGUAACUGUGCACAUCUUGACGGUACCUAAUCAGAUAGCCACGGCUAACCACGUGCCAACAGCCGCGGUAAUACGUAAGUGGCAAGCGUUAUCCGGAAUUAUUGGGCGUAAAGCGCGCGUAGGCGGUUUUUUAGUCUGAUGUGAAAGCCCACGGCUCAUCCGUGGAGGGUCAUUGGAAACUGGAAAACUUGAGUGCAGAAGAGAAAAGUGGAAUUCCAUGUGUAGCGGUGAAAUGCGCAGAGAUAUGGAGGAACACCAGUGGCGAAGGCGACUUUCUGGUCUGUAACUGACGCUGAUGUGCGAAAGCGUGGGGAUCAAACAGGACUAGAUACCCUGGUAGUCCACGCCGUAAACGAUGAGUGCUAAGUGUUAGGGGGUUUCCGCCCCUUAGUGCUGCAGCUAACGCAUUAAGCACUCCGCCUGGGGAGUACGACCGCAAGGUUGAAACUCAAAGGAAUUGACGGGGACCCGCACAAGCGGUGGAGCAUGUGGUUUAAUUCGAAGCAACGCGAAGAACCUUACCAAAUCUUGACAUCCUUUGACAACUCUAGAGAUAGAGCCUUCCCCUUCGGGGGACAAAGUGACAGGUGGUGCAUGGUUGUCGUCAGCUCGUGUCGUGAGAUGUUGGGUUAAGUCCCGCAACGAGCGCAACCCUUAAGCUUAGUUGCCAUCAUUAAGUUGGGCACUCUAAGUUGACUGCCGGUGACAAACCGGAGGAAGGUGGGGAUGACGUCAAAUCAUCAUGCCCCUUAUGAUUUGGGCUACACACGUGCUACAAUGGACAAUACAAAGGGCAGCGAAACCGCGAGGUCAAGCAAAUCCCAUAAAGUUGUUCUCAGUUCGGAUUGUAGUCUGCAACUCGACUACAUGAAGCUGGAAUCGCUAGUAAUCGUAGAUCAGCAUGCUACGGUGAAUACGUUCCCGGGUCU
rnacentral:rRNA from 1 species